rnacentral:rRNA from 1 species
GAUGAACGCUGGCGGCGUGCCUAAUACAUGCAAGUCGAACGAGGUGCUUUUGUAGCAAUACGAGAGUAUCCUAGUGGCGAACGGGUGAGUAACGCGUUGGUGACCUACCCCAAAGUGUGGGAUAACAGUCCGAAAGGAUUGCUAAUCCCGCAUGUGGUCUUCGGAUUUAGAAACUGAUGACUAAAGGAGCAAUUCGCUUUGGGAGGGACCUGCGUCCCAUCAGCUAGUUGGUGAGGUAAUGGCUCACCAAGGCUACGACGGGUAGGGGACCUGAGAGGGUGACCCCCCACAAUGGAACUGAAACACGGUCCAUACACCUACGGGUGGCAGCAGUAGGGAAUAUUGCACAAUGGGCGAAAGCCUGAUGCAGCAACGCCGCGUGUGCGAUGAAGGCCUUCGGGUCGUAAAGCACUUUUCUGGGAGAUGAGCAAGGACAGUAUCUCAGGAAUAAGUCUCGGCUAACUACGUGCCAGCAGCCGCAGUAAUAC